rnacentral:misc_RNA from 1 species
GAUGAAGAACGUAGCGAAAUGCGAUAAGUAAUGUGAAUUGCAGAAUUCAGUGAAUCAUCGAAUCUUUGAACGCACAUUGCGCCCCCCAGUAUUCUGGCGGGCAUGCCUGUUCGAGCGUCAUUUCAACCAUCAAGCCCUGCUUGUGUUGGGGUCCUGCGGCUGCCCGCAGGCCCUGAAAACCAGUGGCGGGCUCGCUAGUCACACCGAGCGCAGUAGCACAUCUCGCUCAGGGCGUGCGGCGGGCUCCAGCCGUUAAAGCACCCACCUUUCGCAAGGGUGACCUCGGAUCAGGUAGGAAUACCCGCUGAACUUAAGCAUAUCAAUAAGCGGAGGA